CUACAAUGGUUGCUUACGGAAUCGGAUAUUGGGCGUAAGAGCUCGUAGGCGGUUUGUCGCGUCUGCUGUGAAAUCCGGAGGCUCAACCUCCGGCCUGCAGUGGGUACGGGCAGACUAGAGUGCGGUAGGGGAGAUUGGAAUUCCUGGUGUAGCGGUGGAAUGCGCAGAUAUCAGGAGGAACACCGAUGGCGAAGGCAGAUCUCUGGGCCGUAACUGACGCUGAGGAGCGAAAGGGUGGGGAGCAAACAGGCUUAGAUACCCUGGUAGUCCACCCCGUAAACGUUGGGAACUAGUUGUGGGGUCCAUUCCACGGAUUCCGUGACGCAGCUAACGCAUUAAGUUCCCCGCCUGGGGAGUACGGCCGCAAGGCUAAAACUCAAAGGAAUUGACGGGGACCCGCACAAGCGGCGGAGCAUGCGGAUUAAUUCGAUGCAACGCGAAGAACCUUACCAAGGCUUGACAUAUACGAGAACGGGCCAGAAAUGGUCAACUCUUUGGACACUCGUAAACAGGUGGUGCAUGGUUGUCGUCAGCUCGUGUCGUGAGAUGUUGGGUUAAGUCCCGCAACGAGCGCAACCCUCGUUCUAUGUUGCCAGCACGUAAUGGUGGGAACUCAUGGGAUACUGCCGGGGUCAACUCGGAGGAAGGUGGGGAUGACGUCAAAUCAUCAUGCCCCUUAUGUCUUGGGCUUCACGCAUGCUACAAUGGCCGGUACAAAGGGCUGCAAUACCGCGAGGUGGAGCGAAUCCCAAAAAGCCGGUCCCAGUUCGGAUUGAGGUCUGCAACUCGACCUCAUGAAGUCGGAGUCGCUAGUAAUCGCAGAUCAGCAACGCUGCGGUGAAUACGUUCCCGGGUCUUGUACACACCGCCCGUCAAGUCAUGAAAGUCGGUAACACCUGAAGCCGGUGGCCUAACUCUUGUGGAGGGAGCCGUCGAAGGUGGGAUCGGUAAUUAGGACUAAGUCGUACCAAAGUUACCCAA
rnacentral:rRNA from 1 species